AUUGAACGCUGGCGGCAUGCCUUACGCAUGCAAGUCGAACGGCAGCACGGGAGCAAUCCUGGUGGCGAGUGGCGAACGGGUGAGUAAUAUAUCGGAACGUGCCCAGUAGUGGGGGAUAACUGCUCGAAAGAGCAGCUAAUACCGCAUACGACCUGAGGGUGAAAGGGGGGGAUCGCAAGACCUCUCGCUAUUGGAGCGGCCGAUAUCAGAUUAGCUAGUUGGUGGGGUAAAGGCAUACCAAGGCAACGAUCUGUAGUUGGUCUGAGAGGACGACCAGCAACACUGGGACUGGGACACGGCCCAGACUCCUACGGGAGGCAGCAGUGGGGAAUUUUGGACAAUGGGCGCAAGCCUGAUCCAGCAAUGCCGCGUGCAGGAAGAAGGCCUUCGGGUUGUAAACUGCUUUUGUCAGGGAAGAAAUCCUCUAGGUUAAUACCCUUGGGGGGAUGACGGUACCUGAAGAAUAAGCACCGGCUAACUACGUGCCAGCCGCCGCCGUAAAAC
rnacentral:rRNA from 1 species